GCUUCUCAAGACUUUCCGAUUCUCAAGUCC
rnacentral:piRNA from 1 species